GGCGGCAGCUGGUGGCCCGGCGGGGCACCGCCACCCUCGGCCGCAUCGCGCCGGCCAUGGAUCCCUUCCCCAAGGACGGCGAGAGCGCGGCGGGCGGGGAGCCCAGCCGGGGCGCGGCCCCCUCCAGCGGGGUGGUGGUGCAGGUCCGGGAGAAGAAGGGCCCCCUGCGCGCCGCCAUCCCCUACAUGCCGUUCCCCGUGGCUGUCAUCUGCCUCUUCCUCAACACCUUCGUACCGGGGCUGGGAACGUUUGUAUCCGCUUUCACCGUGCUGUGCGGAGCCCGGACUGACCUCCCCGACAGGCACAUGUGUUGUGUGUUCUGGCUGAACAUUGCUGCUGCUCUGAUUCAGAUCCUGACAGCGAUCGUGAUGGUUGGCUGGAUUAUGAGUAUAUUUUGGGGGAUGGACAUGGUCAUUCUCGCAAGCUACAAGGAACAGGGGAUCCCACAGCAGCUGUAGUGGCUGGGACAAGUAUGGUCAGAGAAACACGGCGAGAGAUUUCCUUUGGCAGCUCUGGGCCACGGACCUUUUCAUUACCCUUUGUCUUUCUUCUUCUUCUUCUUCCUUUUGUUUUGUUUUGUUCUGUUUGAACCUGGUCCAUCUGCCCAUCCAGCGGAGCGGAGGUGCAGAGCAGCCGACGGAGACUUGCACUGAUCCCAUUGAGCAGCAGAGAUGGGGCAAGCACAGCGUGGGGUAGGACUGGUCCUGGCCAGCACACGAUGGGCAGCUGAUGAGGAGGAUGGUGCCAGGAGAAGGAAACACCCUUGGCAAAGGUGGCAUCCAUGCAGGCAGCUGAGCCAGGGGAGCAGGAGAUGCUGCUUUCCUCCCUCUUCCCAGGAGGGAGUAGCUGAAGAUGCUUUGCCUCCUUUUUAUGCUCACUGUUAAAGGAAACUGGCUGUGGACAUCAAAUGCCAAGGAGCUAUUAACAGAUACAUCUACAGUAUAUAAAAGCAAACCAGUUGUACUUUUCCCCACUCUGAGAGUCCAUCCUUGACUGCUUCGUUGUAGCAGAGGGCUCAGCCCAGCCUCCCCUGCUCACUGUGUAUAUAUGAUGCUCAAUGAAGCUCUGUCUGUGCAGAUAUCUUGAGAAACGUGCUUGCUGUAAAUCAUGCUGUACUGAUAAAUGGACCGAGACCAUCCCCUACUUCCAUCCACUGGCACUAUGUGAAGACCAGACCUCCCACCAGCCCUGAGGGGACGUUAUCUAGCAACGGACCAGUGCCCUGCAGCACCUUGACUCUAGAUGCUUGCCAAAGGCUUCUACUGUAAAACAAUACUGGGGGAGCCAAAAGACGACUUUUUCUCCUUUCCCCUGAAAGGGACUUGCUGGCAGUGUUUCCGUGCUUUGGAAGUGGAUCCCCUUACAGCUCGGCAUGUGUUCCUGGCUGGAGCAGCAUCCCUGCUCUGCUUCUCCAGAGGCCAAAUUCACCACCCAGCGCUUUCAUGCCUCUUGCUGGAGCACCACAGGGAAAAGUCAUCUCCUCCAGGACACCCACCAACACCAGGGCUGGAUAACUCACCUCCCACUUGCAGGAGCUGUGCCAUGUCAUCCACCAGUGCCCGCUGUGCCACACCACCACUGCAAACCAACCCAUCUGCGUGCUGGCAUAGCAAGAGGUCACAGCCAGUGAACGCUUGGUCUGCUUGAAGGCACCUGGCAAUCCCAGCAUCAUCAUCUGCUUUAUAAAUAUAGAUGUUUUAGAUGCAAGUUUUACAGCUAAAAGAGUGAUAGUGGGUAAUGAAGAAUAAAUGCAGUUGCUUCACCCCCAUCUGCCAACACCACAGUGUUUUCUGCUGCUCUUUCCCAUUGUGAAAACCUAAAAAAAAAAAAAAAAAAAAAAAAAG
ensembl:lncRNA